rnacentral:tRNA from 1 species
CAUUAAAAAACUUAAACGCAAGUGUUGAUCUCUUAAAUCAAAAAUUAGUAAUUAGCAACUACUUUUAAUGA